UGGUGCAAAAGUAAUUGCGGUUUUUGCCAUUGAAAGUAAUGGAAAAGCCACAAUUACUUUUGCACC
rnacentral:miRNA from 1 species